GUGACACUUAGAUUAUAUGGACAAUGUUGUAGAUUCAUAGAAUUGCAUGCAUUCCAUUGUCUGCACAUCUAAUUCAUAUGACUAUGACUUGAUUUAGCUAUCAGCUCACAGCUAUGAAGCACAGAAACUUUAGGGUACCAGAGUUUUUCAGAAAUGAAACUGAAACUCUAGGAAACUUUCCUGAAAAGUUUUGGGGCUGUUUCUGUGAUUUAGAAAAAAUUGGAAACACAUUUUUA
rnacentral:misc_RNA from 1 species